rnacentral:lncRNA from 1 species
GGUGGCCUACAGCCCGAGACUCUGGCUGAUGGCAUCUGGUGAAACAAGCUCAACCAGUAUCAAAAAUUGAGACUAAAUCUGACACAAAUCUAAGAAGUCUGUAUGAGUCUUGAUUUAGGAAAGCAUUGAUCUCAGAAUCAGUGAUAGUAUGAUGGCAAGCCAAGAAUGGAAUAAAGUCAGUGUUUGAAGGCGGAGCAAACACAUGCAAAGUCUUGAACAUCUCCUCAAAAAGGUCUUUGUAUCUCGUGCGUAGCUCACGCACCUCAGUACACUUGCAAUAGAA